rnacentral:rRNA from 1 species
AUGGCUCCGGUGAAGGUGUACGGGUUGCCCAUGAACGGAAGUGUGGCACGCGUUCUGGUAUGCCUAGAGGAAGUGGGAGCCGAGUAUGAGGUCGUGGCUGUCGACCUACACACCGGUGAGCACAAGAGACUGCCGCAUCUUGCUCGUAAUCCCUUCGGCCAGGUCCCUGCGUUCCAGGAUGGAGACCUGAUCCUUUUCGAAUCACGGGCAAUCUCAAAGUAUAUACUCCGAAAAGAAUCAUCAGAUUUACUGAGGGAAAACAACCUCUCUGAGUCUGCAAUGGUUGAUGUGUGGCUUGACGUCGAAUCCCAGAAAUUUGACAGCGUCAUGCUGCCAAUCAUCUUUCAAGGGCUUGUCAUCCCGGUUUACAUGGGUGGGACUAGCGAUCUUAAAGUUCUUGAAGAAAACCUAGAAAAACUGAAGGAAAUCAUGGAAGUCUAUGAGGAACGCUUGUCCAAGUCCAAGUACUUGGCAGGAGAUUUCAUCAGCUUAGCGGACAUUAGCCAUUUCCCAAUGGUUCACCUAUUGCAUGAAACUCCAUAUGCAUCGGUGCUCGAUGCAUAUCCACAUGUGAAAGCAUGGAUUGCUGGCGUAAUGGAUCGUCCUACUGUGAAGAAGGUCAUCGGGCUUAUGAAGACAUUUGGUUGA